rnacentral:rRNA from 1 species
CACGUAGGGCGCGAGCGUUUGUCCGGAAUUAUUGGGCGUAAAGAGCUCGUAGGCGGCCUGUUGCGUCCGCUGUGAAAGCCCGGGGCUUAACCCCGGGUCGGCAGUGGAUACGGGCAGGCUAGAGGUAGGUAGGGGAGAAUGGAAUUCCCGGUGUAGCGGUGAAAUGCGCAGAUAUCGGGAGGAACACCGGUGGCGAAGGCGGUUCUCUGGGCCUUACCUGACGCUGAGGAGCGAAAGCGUGGGGAGCAAACAGG